CGGACUGCCGGGCUGCUGCGGUCGUCGCGGCCCGGCUCGACGCAGCCGGGCUCUUUGGCCCCGCGCAGCGGCCCGCUCUCCAGCACCUCCCGGUACGUGAUGGCCUCCUUCUUCUCCUUCACUUUCUGGUCAAAAGACUUGGAGACGAACGCCAAAUGGGACGCCGGUCUUCAGACACUGAAGAAGAAAGCAGAAGCAAGAGGAAAAAGAAACACAGGAGGCGGUCAUCUUCAAGCAGCUCUUCAGACAGCAGGACGUACAGCCGCAAGAAGGGUGGGAGGAGGCCAAGGUCGGAGUCACGAUCCUGGUCUAGAGACCGCCAGCCUCGCUCACAUUCUUAUGAGAGAAGACGCAGGCGCAGGUCAAGCAGCAGCUCUUCUUAUGGCUCCAGAAGAAAACGCAGUCGCAGUCGUUCCAGGGGCCGAGGGAAGUCCUAUAGAGUUCAGAGGUCUCGGUCAAAAAGCAGAACAAGAAGGUCCAGGUCAAGACCUCGUCCACGCUCACAUAGUAGAAGCAGUGAAAGAUCCAGUCACAGAAGAACUCGUAGUAGGUCCAGGGACAGAGACAGACGUAAAGUUCGGGACAAAGAGAAGAGAGAAAAGGAGAAGGAUAAAGGCAAAGACAAAGAGGCGCACACCAUCAAACGCGGGUGAGUUGAUGGAAUAUGUUUUGUGCUUGAUUUUUAGCCUCCAGCUGAGCAGGCCAAAGCCAGACUUCAAUUGGUCCUUGAAGCUGCUGCAAAAGCUGAUGAAGCAUUAAAAGCCAAAGAAAGGAAUGAGGAAGAAGCAAAGAGAAGAAAAGAAGAAGACCAAGCCACCCUGGGAGAACAAGUAAAAAGAGUAAAAGAAAUCGAAGCAAUUGAAAGUGAUUCUUUUGUUCAGCAGACAUUCAGAUCAAGUAAAGAUGUCAAAAAGUCGGUAGAGCCGAGUGAGGUGAAGCAUGUGACUCCAGCCUCAGGACCAGCAUCAGUAGCUGCUGACCCACCCAGCACUGGAAAGGAAAUAGACCCUGACAGCAUCCCCACGGCUAUCAAGUACCAAGAUGACAAUUCUCUAGCUCAUCCAAAUUUAUUUUAUUGAAAAAGCUGAAGCUGAGGAAAAGUGGUUCAAGAGAUUGAUUGCUCUCCGACAAGAAAGAUUGAUGGGCAGUCCUGUGGCCUAAGCAGUAGACUUACGGUCGGAUUGACAGGAAGCUUGAAAACUUAGGUUUUAAAUACCAACAUUAACUUUUACUCUCAAAAAAUAGCUUAGCCAAUUACAUGAAAAAAGAAAACUCAUUUCUUCCCUCGUGUUCAACUAAAUAUUUGGUAACUUGAAUCAAACAUUGUGGAUAGUGAAUCUGUUAUAAACGUGCUGAGGCAUGAACAUAUUAUACUGUUAAUAAAGCAAAUAAUAAAAAU
rnacentral:lncRNA from 1 species